rnacentral:rRNA from 1 species
CAGCAGCCACGGGAAUACGUAGGGGGCGAGCGUUGUCCGAAGUUACUGGGCGUAAAGCGCGCGUAGGCGGCUUCUUAAGUCUGAGGUGAAAGGUUCAACGCUUAACGUGAACAGUGCCUUGGAUACUGGGGAGCUUGAGUAUGGGAGAGGGCAGUGGAAUGGCUGGUGUAGCGGUGAAAUGCGUAGAUAUCAGUCGGAACACCCAUGGCGAAGGCAGCUGCCUGGCCUAAUACUGACGCUGAGGUGCGAAAGCGUGGGGAGCGAACGGGAUUAGAUACCCCCGUAGUCCCUGUCUCUUAUU